rnacentral:rRNA from 1 species
CGUGUAGGCGGUCAGGUAAGUGGAAUGUGAAAUGCCCCGGCUCACCCGGGGACCGGCAUCCCAAACUGCCUGGCUUGAGUAUGGGAGAGGAUGGAGGAAUUCCUGGUGUAGCGGUGAAAUGCGUAGAUAUCAGGAGGAACACCGGUGGCGAAGGCGUCCAUCUGGCCCAAUACUGACGCUGAGGCGCGAAAGCUAGGGGGAGCAAACGGG